rnacentral:sRNA from 1 species
AGGGAAUUAUACACUGGAACAGUGUUUCUGUCUUUUUGUAAUAUUCUUUUUUUUUUUUUUCAUAAUUUCAGGGACAGCCAAGAUAGAAACAGCUGUGACUUCGACCCCAUCUGCUUCUGGGCAGUUCAGCAAGCCUUUCUCAUUUUCUCCAUCAGGGGGCAACACCCUCCACUAAAGAGUCAAGCCAGCUGGAUGCAUUCUCAUUUGGUGGGGGAAGCAAACCUUCUUAUGAGGCCAUUCCUGAAAGCUCACCUCCCUCAGGAAUCACAUCCGCAUCAAACACCACCCCAGGAGAACCUGCCACAUCUAGCAGCAGACCUGUGGCACCUUCUGGAACUGCUCUUUCCACUACCUCUAGUAAGCUGGAAACCCCACCGUCCAAGCUGGGAGAGCUUCUGUUUCCAAGUUCUUUGGCUGGAGAGACUCUGGGAAGUUUUUCAGGACUGCGUGUUGGCCAAGCAGAUGAUUCUACAAAGCCAACCAAUAAGGCUUCAUCCACAAGCCUAACUAGUACCCAGCCAACCAAGACGUCAGGCGUGCCCUCAGGGUUUAAUUUUACUGCCCCCCCAGUGUUAGGGAAGCAAACGGAGCCCCCUGUGACCUCCUCUGCAACCACCACCUCAGUAGCACCACCAGCAGCCACCAGCACUUCCUCAACUGGCGUUUUUGGCAGUCUGCCGGUCACCAGUGCAGGAUCCUCUGGGGUCAUCAGUUUUGGUGGGACAUCUCUAAGUGGUGGCAAGACUAGUUUUUCAUUUGGAAGCCAACAGACCAAUAGCACAGUGCCCCCAUCUGCCCCACCGCCUACUACAGCUGCCACUCCCCUU